ensembl:lncRNA novel transcript
CUACAGCAUGAGGCCGGGAGAUACAAGGCAGCAUGUUAGAACAAUGAAGCAAAGAGCAACCUCAGAAGGCUGAAGGAUACAGAGAUAUAUGAGCUACACAAGAAAAGGGACUGCCAUCCUAAGGACUUUGAGGAAUCGCCACACUGUCUUCCACAAUGGUUCAACUAAUUUGCACUCCCACCAACAGUAUAGUCAAGGAAACUUUUGAGCUAUCAACAGUUUUAACAGUCUUUAUAUUCCAAAUGGUCAUACAACCAGAGCCUUGGAUGAUGACUUCCUUUUACUGGGGAGCCUUAGAUAAGCCUCUGAGGGAAAUCGGACUGCGGUUUUCCCAAAACAGCACCCCCUGUCAGCAGAAAGCAGUUAAGAUCAGUCUUCAUCCCCAUUCUAAUGGCAGUUAGAUGUACCUCUUCAGAGGGGGGAAAUGAUAGCCAUAGGAGGCAGCCAGAUGCCUAGGAAUAUAGGGGCAGAUCCCUGCUGAAAACCCAUCUUCAAGCCAAAAAAACAACCUGAAGGCUGAGUGAACUGCUGGUCCCGGAUGAAACCCAUGACCAAGAGUGAGAACUUCUGUUCCUGUUUGCCUGUCCUUUCCCAACUGAUUAUAUCUGAAUAAUGCCUUUUAAGCAAUCAAAUUUUGCCUUUUCUAAUACUACCUACAGCCUGCCCUUCCCCUAUUCUGAGCCCAUAAAAGCCCCAAACUCAGCCACAUUGGGGGGACUUUCCCACCUUAGGGUAGGGGACAACCCUCGGGUCUCCUCUCCAUGGAAAGCUGCUUCGUCACUCAAAAGAGUGCCCCACCUUGCUCACUCCUCAAUUGUUAGCAUAUCCUCUUUCAUCUUGGACACUAGAAAAGAACUUGGGAACCAGUAUUCAAGCCAGACUUGGCCCAGGCAGGCCAAGUGGGUGGGCUGUCUCCUGCGGCAGGUAGCAUGGCCAAGCAAGGCCCACGUGGGGCGUUGCCAGCUGGAGGUCCCCAGUUUGCAACAUGACUGAGAGAAAAAUAUUGCGUCAAUAACAGUAAUACAUUAAUAAUAUAAGUAAAAUGCAAAUGUUUAAAAUAUCUUCAAAGUUUAUAGGAGCCAUCAUGUAAUACAAACUGCCAUAAAGCCCUGCUUGAAAUUUUUAAAAUUGUGACUUCAUAAUUAGGCAAAUACUGAUUUUCAGCAAAUUACCUUCCAACACAUUUGUCAUUUGACAAACUGGCUUUCUGAGGAUUGAUAUUUUUCUCCCCUGAGAAGUUGACUUACAAUCAUAUUGUCACUUUCUCCCUCUUUCUCUAAGCUCUAGCCAUAUGAGAGCAUGUCACUUCAGCACAUCAUGCUCCUCUGCAUGUCUUUUAAGAUAAUGUUUCCUUUGGUUAAACACUCUUUCAUCCCCACCCCCACAAUUGCCUAUUGAAAUCCUAUUUACUGUCAGCAAGAUGCCAGCUUCAGAAAACAUUCUCUUAACCCCAGAAUAACACUGAGCUGUAGUUAUACAUUCACUAGUUUGAAUAUUUGACUAAUGACUGUAAUAGAUUGGAUUCUUUUGCCAGUAAAUAUUUAUUACCCUCCUCAGUGAUGCAGAGGAUACUUCCCUGCUGUAUUGAUGCUGGGCUUUCAUGUGAAUUGUUUAGGAUAAUAGAAUCUGGCACAUUUCUGAGUCAAGUCCAGGAAGAAUCCACCUGUUUUCUUGAGAUGUUUUGUUUGUGCUCUUCUGUCAUUUACUAUGAGAAGAGUGGGCACUGGAUAGAAACAGAUAAUAUACUUGAAGCAGAACUGCAUCCAAUAUGCAUUUUGCAGUCAUAGUCAGUAAAGUCAGAGCCAACCUAGAAACUUGUGCAGGAAAAAAAAAUAAUGAUUUGGCUUUAAACCUCUCAGUUUGGGGGUGGGUUGUUAACAGCAUCAUUGUAGCAAUAGCUAAGUACUACAAUGACUAUUUCCCAACUAUACUGAAAUAAUUCCUGGGUGAAUGAAUAAAUACAUGAAAACUGGAAAUAACAUAAAUUGUAUAUUAUUGCCUACUGGUUAAAUAAAACAUAAUUCAUUCUUUUGACAGUGACUAUACAGUCAUUAAAAAUACUGCUUUCAAUUUUUUUACUUCUAAUGCCUGUUUUAUAAAAUAAUAAUAUUAUUAGGAAAAUAAUAUAGUUCAUUAUAAAAGGCCAAUCUAGAUAGGAAAUUCCAAAAAAUAUACAAUAUAAAUACCACAAAAUAAACCACUCACACACACAUUAUUAAUUCUAGAAAGGUAGGUAUAUAGACAGAGAAAUAGAUGCUAAGAUAAAAUAUUAUACAAGUUAUUUUAAAUUAAAAUAUAAUUUUACUUGAAUUAAGUAGAAAGGAAAAUUUUGAAGUGAAACUGAAGGAAAUACUAAACCCCAUAAGAUAUACUGCCAUCUUAAAAUAAAACACUCUUGAUUUAGAAGACAUAUUAUAAAAAUUAAGAGGAUAAAUGUUUUUAUAUUACAUAUUUAAAACGUGGAUAGUAUAUAUUGACUUUUUAAAAUAAAAGAUCCGAGAAUUAACACUUUCAUACUAUCAUCAACUUUUUCCCAUCCUCAUUUUUAUUAGUUUCAUUAUUGAGGUUUAUUUAAUUUAUAUCCUAUUUUGUAACUAUUCCAUCACAGUUGUUUAGACCUAAGUAAAUUCAAUGCUCGCCAUGAGUGCUUUUCUAAGCCUUCAUUACUGAGAUCUUUAUUUAAAUUCAUCUCUUAUCUGAAUGUCCUUUGAAAGGGAGCCAUGAGUCCAUUAUUAUAUUAGUUCUUUCAUGAUUGACAAUGUAUAUCUGUAGUGUCUGAACUUCAAGAAUAUAUUGUUGUGAAAUAAUUGUACAUAGUUGUGGGUAUAUAUUUAUUCAGAUAUAUCCCAAUUGUCUUAUGUGUCACUGAAUACUUAUGUUUAAAAAUCUAAGGCCAACUGGGCAUUUUUCUUCUUUACAGGCCUCUAGAUAUUUUCUAUUUGAAGAAUCCUUGGUUUUCAUUUGAAUUGCAAUAACUUACAAAGAAUGUAUCAAUACUAUUAUUGAGUAUUCUAAGUCAACAGUUCCUGGAAUUUGACUUUGCUUUUUGAUAUGUAAAUUUGGUGUUUGCUUCAUUUUAAGAAUUUUUAAAUAUUAUUGCCUUGAAUAUAUAUACAUAAUUUUUUUAUUUGUUGAGUUUCGCAAAAAAUUUUCAGUGAUAUUGGAAACUGCCUGUUUUAAAAUUAUAGGUAAAACUUGAAGUUAUAAAUCUGAUAUGAGAGAAAAACAUUUAUGUAACAAAAACAAAAAUACAAAGAGAUUGUGUAAAAAUAUAUAUUGAAAUGAUGCAUUGUUUAUACUGGGUUGUCAUGGAUGAUUUGUGUUUAUAUCUACCUUCACUACAAUGCAUAUUUUUUGUUUGUUCUAUAUUUUGUUUUAAAUGAUGAGAUUUUGAUGCUCCAAAAAAGCCGAAAACAAAAACAAACAGACUGGUUAGUCAGGCUGGUUAGGGGUAAAAAUUCAGCUUGCACUUUUAUUAAACAAUCUUGGGAAAGAAAGUUUUAUCAUUUUUUUGUGACUCAGGUUUCUUAUCUGAAAAUUGAGGAUAGUAAAAACUGUUCCACAGAGUUAUAUGAGUUAAAUUAGAUAAAACAUUCAGCCAGUAAUCAGUGAAUCAUACAUAUUCAAUAAAAUAU